UUCCUCUUUUUUGCCCUCAAAAAUCAAGCCUAAGUAAAAAACGGCACGAAAGGCCCUAUAAACUCAAUUUUCAUUUAUAGGGCCCGUUAUUAGGUUUGCCAGAAAAGUCCUACGUGGCAGAAUCAGGUGGUUAGAUGGACCCCGCCAACCCCGACCACCACUCCAGUAGUAACAAGUCUCGCCGAAACAAAAAAGCCACUGCCAAAGAGGAAAUCCUGCUAUUGGGGAGUACAUAUAAUGAAAUUUAACCAAUAUAGGGUUCUAAUUUUGAGCCCUAAGCUUCAUUAAUCUAAAAUGAUCUGGAGGAUUUCUGGCCUCUUCUGGGCUUUCGAUUCAGGUAUUAUAAUCAAUUGUGCAUGUGCUUGUUGAUAGUAAUUUUUAUUGUUUUCUGAAUGAUGCUAUGCACUUUUCGAAGUUGGAUCUUUGGAAUAUGAGUUUCAUUAGUCAUUUGGUUUUUUAACUUAGGUUUUAACGGAGCAUUGAGUUUCACUUUUUUGACGUAGUCUCCUAGUUUCCUUUUUUAUUUCCCUUUUUUCUUUGGUGAGGUGGAUAUGGGUUUGAUCAUGGUUAAAUAUUUAUGGUUUUAGCUCUAUUUUUCUUUUCUUGUUAUCAGCUUUUGAUGACUAGGUAUUACUGAUGAAAAGAAGAAACUAAAAAAAAUAAUCUUUUUGCUGGUUAAUGUGGAAAUAAAGAGUAAAAAUAAUCAGUAUCAGUACAAUUGAACAGUUAAUUAUUUUCAUAUUGUAAUUUUUAACAGUGGUAGAGAAGUUCUGAAAUUUCUGGUUUACUUAAUGAAAAAAUGAAUUGUAAAGAAAAUCGUUUCUGUCUAAAUACAGGAUUUAGUAAUUAGUAGUUAUUGAAACUUGAAAUUUUCAUAAGUAAUUAAUAACAAAAAUGCAUUUUCCAAACAAGGAUUUUGUACGAAUGCGAGCUUAAGAAAUUAGCUUAUAAUUUACUUAGAAGCAAGAAAAUCAUAACUUAUCCAAACAGGUUUGGGAAAAAAAAAAAAAAAAGAAAGAAAAAAGAAAAAAAUGUUACUUUUUCUUCUUUGGAAGCUGAGCCAACCAUGCUCAGCACAACUGCAAACAAAGGCUACAAAAACUUAUUGUCAUGUGUAUUUCUGCAAACGGGAUAGUUAAUGACAUUUAAAAUAUAAAAUGAAAUUAUCUUUUUGAGAUGAUAUCCCUAUAUAUUCUUUUAAGAAACAACGAUGGGUACACACAAUGAUAUCCUAAAUUUACCAUCAGAUCUAAAGCAAUUAGAUUAUUGGCAAUUACAACAUGUUAUGUUAAUUUUGGUUGGUACCCCUCCCUCUUCUAAUUUGCUCUAUCAAAAUUGUGUCACUAAUUAAAUAUAAAAAUAAAAAAAAUAAAAAGAAAAAUUAAAGAAAAACAGGUAGAGACGUAAUGAUGGCUAGAGAAUUGUUCAUCAUGGUAAAUGUUCCAUGACAGCUAACUGUUUAGCCAUCAUAGAUGCAUAAAUGAAACAGCAAUGUUUCAUUGUUAGCUGUCAUCGGAAAAUCAAUUUUGUGCUGGUUGCAAGCUGAUGAAAGAAUUUUGAUGUGAACUUUCCCAUAUUACGCCAAAAAAAUGAUUGGGAACUUUAAGUCAAGAAAUAAAUGGCACAUACGUACUCAAUGACUGGCCUUCAACUAUAUACGUCAAUUAUGUUGUUCCAGAGGUUAGUAUCUACAAGGUGUGAAUGGUUACCGACACUAGAUGACAAUUUUUUUUUUUAUAUUUGUUAGAAUGCUUGAGCUUGGUGUAUGGGUAUUGAAUUACUGUCCAACUGUAAACAUUAACAUGUACUGAUAUUGAGGCUAGUCUCUAUUAAGCCGUGCGCUAUAUGUCAGAUUCGUAUGCGACCAGAUUCUGCUUUUAACUUCCCUGAUUCCAUCACGCUCGCUUCUUGAAUCUUAAUACUAUCUUUCAGCAUUUCUUUGCUUUGAUGGAAAAUUUCGUGAUCUAAGAUUUUUCUAGUCUGUUUCAAAAUGGUCGUAUCUGUUCCUGAAGUGCUUCUAACUUACCUGAAUAUGCAAAAGAAUAUUUGAUUAAAUGUGGAGAAAUGCGUUGGUUAACUACUUUGCAACUAUAAGACUGACUUGUAAUGAUUAUAUUGAACAAUAUUUGACAGUAACAAUUUUUCCCACCCAUAGGACCAUGCUCACCUGUGGUGGGAUGUUUUAUCAUAGAGUAUAACCUUGCAGUUAAUUAUUUAUGGAGAGAAAUGUGUCCUUAUUCUGGAUGUAUAUCUAUUCUGUUGCAGGUUCUUGGUGUCAUCGGUUACUUCUAUUUGCUAUCUGGUCCACUAUCUAUCACAAUCAAUUGACUCUGCAAACAUCCCUUGUGCCUGCUCACAUUUCUUCCACAUCUAUGCUAAAAGCUAGCCCACCAAAAAGCGGAAUCUUUAAGCCCAUAGAAAUAUCGCCCGCUGUUAUUCCACAUUCUCAGUUUCCUGGGGAUCCAUUGCCGCCAAUGUAUCCUACUUUUCCACCAACCUAUGAUCCUGUCUUAACUGGAAGGUGUCCUGUGAAUUUCUCUGCCAUCUCAAAUAUCAUGGACAAAACAGCUUCUGAUUGUAAUCGAAUCUUUGCACCUGUACUAGGAAAUGUUAUAUGCUGCCCACAGUUCAGUAGCUUGCUCCACAUAUUCCAGGGAUUCUAUAGCAAUAGCUCUGAUAAUUUAGUUUUACUAAAUGCAGUUGCUGAUGAUUGUUUUAAAGACAUCAUCAAUAUAUUAGCCAGCAGAGGAGCGAAUGGCUCGAUACCUGCCAUCUGCUCUGUAAAGUCUUCAAAUCUCACAGGUGGCUCUUGCCCUGUGAAAGACAUAAAUAAUUUCGAGGAAAUAGUGAACACAAGCAAAUUACUGGAGGCUUGCACCACAGUCGAUCCACUUAAAGAAUGCUGCAGACCAAUUUGUCAGCCUGCAAUUAUAGAAGCUUCACUUAAGCUAUCGGGGACACAAUCAUUUGUGAAUAAUGAUACGAAUCAUCUCAACAUGCUUAAUGAUUGUAAAGGGGUGGUGUAUUCAUGGAUGUCUAGGACACUUCCACACGAUGCUGCUAAUACAGCAUAUCGGAUAUUGUCUGCCUGCAAAGUUAACAAAGGUGUGGUUUAUUGGUACUUCUUUUUUGUGUGUUUGAGAAUAUUUUAUGCUCCUUUCACUUUCUUUACUCACCAUAUCUUUCCCUUUAUUGUACCUCCAACCAUAAUUUCAUGUAAUCUCACAGGAUUUAGACAUUCAUCAAAACCUUUUUCUUCUUAAGUUAUGGAUUAUAUCUGAUGCGUCAAUUGUAGUGGGAUAACAUGAUAAGAAAAUUGUACAUACAUCACCAGGGCAUUGAUCUGGAAGUGUUUAAAAAUUACUAUUAUUAUUGCUUUUGAAAUUAUAAUUUCUCGUUGACGAUGUUACUUUACUUGCUGAAACAUCAUGCUGAUCUAAAUUCUCCUCUACUUCUUAAUUAUGUUUAACCAUUUCUGUAGUUUCCUUCCUAAAUACGAAUGAAGAGAGAAACUUGUCAGCUUUGGUACAUAUCCCCUUUAUAGUUCUGUUUAUAUAUUCUAUUAGGUUUUAAAUAGUUGCCUUCUUGAAUGUAGCUUGUCCAUUGGAUUUAAAGCAGCCAUCAGAAGUGAUUGUAGCAUGUAAAAAUGUAGCUGCUUCAAGCCCUUCAUGUUGUAGCUCAUUAAAUACUUACAUUGCGGGAAUACAAAAGCAAAUGUUGAUAACAAAUCGCCAAGCAAUAAUCUGCGCAGCAAGGUUGGGGUCCAUGCUACAGAAGGGUGGUGUGAUGACCAAUAUUUUUGAGCUUUGUGACGUGGACUUGAAAGAUUUUAGUCUCCAAAGUAUGUGUUUCAAUGGAGGUGUCAUUCUAGAAUCUUUUAUUUGAAGUUAUUACUUUCCUGGUUCUAAUUUUUCUCUCUUUUGUGUUGUUGCUGGAGCAGCUGAUGGACAACAAGGUCAUUUUUUCCCUCCACUUUUAUAUUUACUUCUAAGUUUUAUCUGAUCUUCUUUCCUUAUGUAUAGGUUUUCUAUUACAACUUACAAGCUAUUUAGUAAUUUGAGACUUUCAAUUAUAGAUUAUGUCUCUCUAGGGCAUAAAAAGGAUAUUAUGGGAUUCUUUUGAACUGAGAGUCAUGGCUUUAUAUGGGUUAAAGCAAUCACCAAGGGCAUGGUUUGGGAUGUUUCCUGAAGUUAUGGAAUUUGGUCUUCAGAUGUAUCAGAUAGGUCAUUCAGUAAUUCAUUUAUAAACUCGUGCAGGCCAUGUUAUCCUUGUAGUUUAUGUAGAUGAUAUUGUAAUCACUGGCAAUAAUGUAGAUGGGAUUGUCUAGUUGAAACAGUUUCUACAAAAACACUUCCAGACCAAAGAUCUAGGCAAGCUUCAACAUUUUUUGGGUAUUGAAAUUGCUAGGUCUCGAGCAAGUAUCAUCUUAUAGAGAAAAUAUGUACUUGAUCUGUUAGAUGAAACGGGAUUUCUUGGAACUCGUCCAGUAGAUACUCCUAUGAAUCCAAAUGUAAAGCUUUUAGAGGAUGGAGGAGAACCGUUUAAGGAACCAGGAAAAUAUCGUCGUUUGGUUGGGAAGUUGACUAUUACACGACUAGAUAUUUCAUAUGCAGUUAGCGUUAUUAGUCAGUUCUUGGAUGGUCCUCGAAUUUUUCAUUGGGAAGUUGUGAUACAUAUUAUUUGGUAUCUGGAAAAGGUUCUAGGUCUUGGAUUAUUGUAUAAACCAAAUGGACAUAUCAAAGUAGAAGGAUUUAAGAUGCAAAUUGGAUAGGAUCUCCAUCAGAUAGAUGAUCCACUACUGGUUUCCGUACUUUUUUCGAUGGAAACCUUGUCUCUUGGAAUAGUAAGAAACAAAUCAUAGUAGCGAGGUCAAAUGUAGAAGCAAAAUAUAAGGCAAUAGCUCAUACUGCUAGUGAGUUGACAUGGUUGCAGCACUUUCUUCAAGAAAUCAAUCUCUCACCUUCUAUCCCUAUUCCAAUGCUAUGUGGUAAUCGGGCUACUCUACAUAUUGCAUCCAAUUUAGUCUUCCAUGAAAGGACCAAAAACAUUGAAGUUGAUUGUCACUUUGUUCAAGACAAAAUAGUGAAUGGUGAUAUGUGUACACCAUUUGUGAAAACGGGAGAUUAGUUUGCUAAUACAUUUACGAAGUCAUUGAAUGGUAAUUGGUUGAGGUUUCUUUGUUUCAAGCUCGACUUAUAUGAUAUAUAUGCUCCAGCUCUAGGGGGUAUUAAGGAAUAAAUUAAUAAAGGUUCGCGUAGAUUGGGCAUGAUAUAGGUUUAUUGUCUUCCCAUACUUCUACAUAGUUUCCAUAAUUGUAUUCUUGUGUUUCCAUAAUUGUAUUCUUGUUUUCACUAUAUAAUGAAAGUAGAGGGGAGAAAGAAGUUCUACCAUUUUCUCUCCCGUGUUUCUUCAAUUCUUGUCAACAAUUACCAAGAGUAAAGACGCGUACACUAGCUUUUAUGUGUACAUGAUGUUGACGUUUUAUUAAAUUUAUAAGUCUCAUGUCUAAGCAUCUCCAUUUCUAAUAACUUUAAUCUUCAAGAAUGCUACUUUCUGCUGAAAAUCUUUUGCAAUUUCCUACCAUUUUUGGUACAUGGAUUCAAGGAAACUUUUUAGUUUUGAACUGAUGCAGAAUAUCUCCUAUAGAUUUGGAAAGAAUUUAAGGAGUAUUGGUGAAUGAUUGACUAAGUUUUAGCUAAUUGUGAUCUUCACCAGCAUAUCUUUUUCUUCCAAAAGGGAACUAAUUAAAGCAAAAACAUGAUCAGGAUUUGGUUCUAUUGGUCUUGGAGUUUCACGGUGGGAGACUCAGUUAACGAGAAUGUUAAUAGCCAACAGCAUAUUUUUAAUUAUUUACAAUUGAAUGUUGUAUCUUAUGCUUGACUGAGACAUAUCUUCUCAAAUGAGAUUGAGAGGUAGCACUUCUAGGCAUGGUUAAAAAGGGCGGACUUGAGGUUUAGUACAUGUACCUCAGGGCGCUACUUGUAGUGCUUUUAUUUUGAGGCAGCUGCCUCAUUGCAUAAGGCAAGGCACACACCUCAAUUCAAUUGCCUCAUGUGGCGUACGUCUUGCUCAUGUUUUAUUUGAAUUUGAAUUUUUUAUUUCUAUAUUUUGAGUGAUAAAGCCUAAAGGCUUUUAAUUGGGCCCAACUUAAAUAAAAAAAAGGCAAAAAAUUGCCCCUAUCAAAUUUGACUAAACAAUUAAAAAAAACUAAACCCCACUAGCAAUUUGAGUACCCCACCUGAAAGAAGAAGCUUUUCCAAGAUUGCAAGCUGGCAACUGGCCGUUCUAAAACUGCGGGAGGUAUAUAUUAUUAUUAUUUUCUUCUUUCUUUUCUAUAUUUCAUCUCCUUCACGUCUCUCAUUUUAUUUUUAUUUUCCUAAAGUUCUUACACGAGAUAUAACGGUAGGUUCUUAAAACCAGGCAGUAAUGAUGUUAAUUCUUUGGAGAUUUUUUUAAGAUUGAUUGGUUAUGGUUUAUUGGGGGAGAGGAAAUUACAUUUGGUUAACUAGGGUGCAAUUUGUUCUCCAAUAAGGGUGAGAGAUCUCGAAUUGAGGAGUCUUGUAUUAUUUAAUAAAGCCUUGUUGGGUAAGUGGUUGCGGCGACUCGAAGUGGAGAGGAAGAGUUUUUGGAGAGAAAUUAUAAUAACAAUAUACAGUGAGGGGGAUGGUGCUCGAUCGAUGGCCGUUGUGCUUAUGGGGUGAGUUUGUGGGGGUAUAUCCGACAAGGGUGGAGCGAUUUUCGAGAUAGAUUGACUUUUAUAAUGGAGAAUGGUAAUGCUAUUAGUUCUUGAGAUGAUUGUUGGUGUGGAGAGCAACCACUUAUGGUGAGAUUUCUCUCUUUGUAUCGUAUUACUUUGGUGCAGCCUACUACGGUAAAUGAGGUCUUAGAUAUACAUAACUCUCAGUUAGAAGUUAGAACAUUAUUUUUCGAUAGGGUUUGUAGGACUAGAAAGUCGAUGAUUAUGCGCUGCUUCUGACAUCUUUGUAUGAGGUGUAUUUUAGGGUGGAAAAGGGUGAUUGUAGCAGGUGGAGGUUGACACGGGAUGGUAUCUUUUCAGUCGGCACUUAUUUUAGAUUCUUAUUGGAACCGGUGGAGAGUUCAUUCCCGUAGCAGAUAGUAUGGAAAUGCAAAUUGCCUCAAAGCGUGGCAUUUUUGCUGUGGACGGUUGUUAGGAUACAGGUAUUGAUGGUGGAUAAUUUUCGAACAAGGAUUUUUAUGUGACGGAGUGGUGUUGUGUGUGUAGGAGGGACGGGGAGAUGAUUGGCCACUUGUUCCUUCAUUAUAAUGUUACUCGUUUGCUGUGAUAUUCUGGCAUCUCAACACAUAGAUUAAGUGUCGCCGAGGCGUAUAAAAGACGUGUUAAAGGCAUGGAGGAAAAAGUUUCGUAAUAAAUAUUGCAAGCCCGUGGGACCUUAUUCUGGAUUGCAUUGUAUAGAGUGUGUAGAGAAAAAGAAACAGUCGCUAUUUUGAUGAUCAAAUACGGAUAACUGAGCAGAUUAGGGAAUUGUUUUAUUUGACAUUUUAUAUUUGGUUUAAUGUAACGGCUACUAGUCAUAUAGACGGGUUGCCAAAUUUCAUGUUGUUUCUUUCUUGUUUAAAGUAAAUAGUACCCUUCCUAUGUAUUAUCCUUUGAUUAAUACAAUAUUUGAUUACAUUUCAAAAAAUAAUAAUAAUUAUAUUAUCUUAUAAUUUUUUGACUAAGUUUUUGGUUUGUGGUGAGGCUUGCAUCUCAAGGCUUAUGCCUCAUCUCACAAAGUAAAAAUGCCCGAGUACCUAUUUCCACCUUUUUAAGCAUGGCUUCUAGGAUAUUGUUGGUAAAAUAGUAUGUGAUUCUUGCUGAUAUUUUUUCACGUUAACUCAGGUUGUUUGCUUCAUAGCUUGCCAGCAGAUUUGGUUUAUGAUAAGUCAGCUGGCUUAAGCAUUACUUGUGAUUUGAACGACAAUAUUGCAGCUCCAUGGCCUUCAUCAUCUUCUCUCACAUCAUUAUCUCUUUGUGCUCCUGGUAAUGGUUCCAAAGAACUAGAUGUUUAUCUUUUCGAUAAAUACCCAGUAAAGGGUUCGAAAGAUAUAAUGUAAUUGCUGAUGAUCCUUCAAAUACAAAUUCAUAAAUGAAAAUAUUGUGAUGAGAUUUUCAUCAAUUUGCAGAGAUGUCCUUGCCAGCACUGCCAACAUCCGAGACAUUGGGUAAUCUUGGUAAGUGUUUAUUUCGAUAUACAACCUUACUUCCUCUUUUUUGUGUGUGUGCGCGCGUGUGUGUGCACGCGCGCCUUAACCUCCUUGAUUCAAUUUUCAUCACAAACAAUUAUCUGACAAAUUUUGAUCUUGGUUUCCCUUUUUCAUGUUGAACCAGCCUUGUCGAUCUGGUUUUUAAAACAUAGAAAUUGCCUGAUUAAUAUUUUAAUGGGGUAAUAGCUGAUAUGUAUUGUUGUUUCCAAGUUAUGGACCUUAUAAAUUAUUUUCCCCUGCUUUUGUUUGAAGAUUGUGGAGGUUGUUUCUCGUUUAUUGAAUGGCUGAGAUGUCUAAAAACUUAUUUAUUUGUUAUUUUCAGUGGUUAAAAGGCUGAUAUUGUGUUCAUCUCUGAUGCAGGAUAUCGUGGGGGUUGGACGGAUCUCUUUGUACCCAUUCUUUCAUUUUUUGUUUUGGAACAUUAUUGAUCUAGAGAGAUUUUGCAGAGCGCUGGGUUGAUUUUAGUUGAAGGGCUUAGAUUGGCCCUAGAUCAUAUUUACAUGUACACAUUGAAUACAUUCCCUUGCAUAUAUUAGAAGCUAUUUUUGGUCGUCAUUCUUGAUUGGUUUUAUAAGAUGAAUGAUUUUUAGAAUUUUAGGUAGUGCCAUAGGGGUGAUUCAACAAUUAAUUUUAAUCACACAUUUCAAGGGACCUACGACUUUUCAACCAAUCAUUCCAUCAACUUCGAUUAAAAUUUACCAAAAAUCUAAUUUUAAUUCCCACCAAACAGGGGCUAAUUUUAUGUUGUAAAUCAUUGGAAAUUUUGGUAGGAUGUGAGCAUUGUGGAAACGGGGCCGACUUUGCCAUGUCUCCUGGUCACAAGGAGCUUUACUACAAAGUUUCUCUUUCAUUGGGAUGGCUAAUAAUGGAAAUGCAUGGAUUGACUUCAACUGUGAAUCCAGCAGCCAUGUAAAUAUGAGGUUUUGAGUUGGUAGACCACAUUGGUCAUUGCGUUUGUUUUAUAAUUCUAGUUCCUUUUAUACAGUGGAGGACAAAUUCGAAUUUGUUUCUUAAUGGUGUAACUUUCUAUGGUUAUAUUAUCUUACAUGUAAGUACUGGGAGAAAGUUACAAAUUUAUGCAGGGUUUGUUGAUUUGAAUGUAUGCCUAUGGGCAGUUGAGGGAGCUUGUAUGUUCUUUGACACAAUUUAUUGAAAUGAACAAUGGCUUCUUGCAGGAGUCAUUUUUUCUGGGCACUAGCCAUUUUGCUUAGAUUAGGUCCACUUCAAACUGCAAAAUUGUCUAGGUAUGCCAAAUGCCUUUACCGAAGGUAACUGAUAUGAUGAUCGUGUGAGUUGGCUACUUGAAGUUCAUCGUAUCCUGUCAACAUUUCUUGAGAGAGAAGACAAUGCUCAAGGCAAGUUUACAUGCAACUCAAAAGAGACUCAAAAAUUUCUUAAACGUUUGAAAGAGUCUAGGUUGAUUGAUUACUUAUGAACAUUUGAAAUAGAUUUAGAUUUUACGAGGUGGAAGUGUGUAGUUGUGUAUUAUUGAAAAGCAGCAUUUAAAUUUCUGUCUUCUAUGAAUGACUUUUAUCUCCUAAGUGGCACACGUUCUGGGGAACAACUUAAGAACAAAGAAGUUUUUCUUCUUGAUGAAUUUGCUUCGGACAUGUUUUCAUGAUUUUUACCCAAAGAAACUUUAUUUUGUCUCUUAUAGGGAUUUUGAAUCCAAUGGCCGUUGAUGCAAGAGAAAGCUCAUCUCUGAAUCUUGUGCGGAUACAACUGUUUGCAGUUCUUCCAAGAUGCGUCUCUGCACAUUUUCUGUGUCUACCAGAUAUGGGUUCUGAUCUCUUCAUUAAAAUAUUUCCUUCAAUACUAUUUUGCUUAUCGCUUUCUGUCAAGUCCAAUUCUAUCUGAAAAAGAAUGAAAUUUGUCAUUCAUGUCUAUGCAACUAAUCGUUUUCCAUUUUCCCUGGCAUUUGGUGCCAGGCUGAAAUUUUUUUCAGUUACUCCACUCUGCUCGUUCCAUUGUUGCUCAUUGUAGUAUAUUUUCGUCUCUCAAUGCCAAAACAACAUAAAAAAUGAUUAUGUUUUGGUAUUUACACAGAUAUUCCAACUACGAAAAAAUAAAGGGGGUAUUGCUUUGUUCAUAUAAUCUGUUUCUAAUUAUGAUGAUGAUACCAAAUUUUUCUUUCUAAUUGUAAAUACCUCCCUGUAUAGCAAAGUGGCCAAAUUCUGGAAAAUGCUUGUAACGAGGACUAGAAUUGAAAGAGAAGAGGAGACGGGAAAGAGGAAGAAUGACGGAGCAGUUAAAGAGGGAGAAAUUGUAGUUUAUUGAAUAUUAAAGUGGGUUACAAUCAAAGGCCUAUCCAUACUUAUAGUGGGACUUCUAGUAGAUGAGGAAAACUAUUAAACAAAUAGAAGGAAAUAAAAGAUAAUCUCUCGACAUAAAAUAUAAAUUCUCUUCCUAAAGUAAGUGUCUUAGAUUGGUAAGUCAUCAAGGGAAUAUCCAAGAUAAAGACCAUUUGAAGAGGAGAGUGGAAUCUCGAUGAAAUGAGGAUAUGCUCAAGCUGCCCAUUUCUUGAGAGGGUAAACUGCACGAACUUUUCUUUCACUCUUCAUCCCCGUCUCUCCCUCUCUAUGUAGGAUAAUGAUGAGGAUAUAUUGCCCUUGUUUGAGCCCCAUUUUGAGGGAAAAAAUGAAUUUUUGAAUAGUGUAUUGAUGGAAAAUGUGUGGUUAAAAAAUAAGGAAAAGUUUUGAAUUUGCGUGUAAUAUUAUCUUAUUGAAGAAUGUGUGGUUGAAAUGAUGUCAAAACACUGUAGAAGAAUUUAUUUUUUCUAAAGAAUGGGGAUCAAACAAGGGUAUUAUAAAGUAGAAACAUAGUGAGUGACACAUUUUGGCAGGCAAAUAUUGAAUUCCAUUAUCGUAAUUUAUACGGUAAAAAGGAAAAUUUUUAGGUAGAAACUCAAAACGAAGUUUUUUAAUGAUAGAAAAACCUUUUUGCUUUUGGGGCUCGACUUGUCUAGAUAGAGACUUCAAACGGUCUCCAUUUUAACAUUUUGUAUGGUGAACUAGGUCGAAAUAAGGCACUGUGCGACAUAUUGAACUGGCUUAUGUCAUGCCGUGCAAGCUUCUUAAUGAGUUACACAAAAUUGAUUCAAUUUUCUUAUAUUUAGAGUCUAAUUCAAUAUUUUCACCAAAACGGUUGAGGGAGCAAAAUGUACCAUGUGUUAUUUAUAUAUAUUAGAAAGAAGACAAGUGAUGAGUGCAAUAGCACCUCUAAAGCAUAGUUUUCGGUUUGUUCUUGGGCACUUUUGUGCGUUUUGAUGUGUUUGUUUAUGUUGUUCCGUAGUUUAGGUAACGUAGUGAAAACGACAUAUUUUGGAGCUUGGAAUGGAGCUAAAUUGUUGAUCAUGGAAGUGGGCAUGGAGUGAAGAUGAAAGAAGAGAAAAAUAAAGUGGAAAAGAGGCAAGAAAAUGAGGCCAAAUGCAAAGGAAUCAUAUAAGAGCUACAGCGCCGCACGUUGGUGCCUAGGCGCCCAAGAAACGGCCAGAAAAUCAACAGAAACCCCAUCUCGCCUUGAAACGUUAAGGGACUAUAAAAAUAACCUAAAGACCUACUUUUGGAGGAGGAUAUAGCUUAAGAGGCAAGGAAACAAGAGAUUGCUUGAGAGCAAUUGGGAAAAGAAUUCAAGCGCGAAACCAGUUUUUCUCAUUCAUUUCUUUUCCAUGUCCUUAAUAUUAGAUUGGAUUAUGCAUUUUCUCUUAUUCAUUAACUAAUUUCUAGAUCUAGGGUUUGAUGUAACCUAACUUGGAAUAUGU
rnacentral:lncRNA from 1 species